AUGGCAUGGAGGCCUAACAUGGCCUUCAAUACUCACCCCAAAAAGUUGGGUCGAUUUCAUACAGGUCAGGAUAGUACUAUAGCAUCUGCUCUCAAAGGGCGCCAGGCACGGCCGGAAGGGCUUGUGUCGGAGAACCUCCAUCACGAAGGUUCUCGACGGAGGCAGUGCGUGUACCGCAUCGACUCCAUGGAUGGAAUCCAGUUUGAACCAAUGUUCGCACUUGGAGGUGGCCCGAGACAGGCCCUUCCGGACUAUCCUUGUACCCUCCGAAAGGUUGCAAGCCAUGGUCCCCUACCACCUCCCACGACCGCUGCAAGAUCAGAUUGUAGCCGCCCACCGCCCACCGCCCACCGGGAACGUCGCCUGAGGGGUCAAGCGGCAGUGGUGUUGUCGCCGCCUCCUACGCGCGUCAACGCGCCGCUGCUCUUGUUGCUGCCGUCGAGCGCCACACAUCCACAUCUAGUGUGGGACGCACUAUCCGCAUGGAGCAUUGGGCCGCCACCGCCGACGACAGAAGGUGCCAGUAAAAUGGAAACUACUGUUAAAAGUGCUGCUAAUGGAGAAAAACACGUCUCCGAAGUGACCGAUGAGAUUUGGUAUUGGGAGCACCUGCGUUCCGGCAAAUGGAUGUAUACUCCUAUACCCCCACCAUUGGUCGCACGAUGGGACGAAUGCAGAUGUGUAAUAAGAGCAGAAGCUUACACCCCAGGAGGUCUUCAUAAAGGACUCGUUGUGAUGGAAAUUUGUGCUCGACAACCAGAGGCCAACAAUAGAAAGGAUCCAGGAAGCAAAAAAUUUGUAUGUGUGGAUGAAGGUGAUUCAUCUCGAGCACAAUCACAAGGUCAAAAUAUGAGUAGCCACCAAGUGGAAAUGAUAGUUGCAGCCCUGAAUGCACAUUCUGCUGAGCAAGAAAAGAAGAUAGGGAGACAGUUAAUGGAAUUUGAGCAUAGAUUUGACGCGAAAUUCCUCACCCUGAGCGCACAGUUAAUCGACAUUAAGAGUAAAUCUGGCAGUAAUCCUAGGCUCUCGCUGCUCGAGGAUGAAAUUAAGGACUUAAGGAGGGAUCUGAAGGAAUUAAAAAACCAAACAAAAGUCAGCCGACAAUCCGAGUCACAGAAAGCAGGCGUCGAGGAACAAGUCAACGUGUGCAGUGAUCCCUUAAUGGCGACUCCUAAGUUCGACGCAUCCACGCCACAUACUUCGACUCCAACACCAAGUGCCAGACACGUCCUGCCAAACAAGGACGAUCCUCGAAUCACACCAUUGAAGCCUCUGUUUGAUAAUGAUUACGUGCUCACCGCUGAGGACAAAGAGGCAGCCAUUUUCAUCCGGGGAACACACGGCCCUAUUGAAGUGGUUCAAAUCGGAGACAUUCCCCUAAGAGCGGAACAACUGAAGCCAAUUUAUGAUAAAAAAUACAUCUGUGGUGAUGUUAUUAUGGCGUAUGCUCACAUCAGCGGAGUUGAGACUGAUACUACCUCAGUCAUAUCUCCUAAUGAAACCAGAAAGCUUUUACAAACAAAAGGGGUUAUUCCAAAGGGCCGUGGAAGCUCGUGGGUUCAGCAUGUUGCAAAUAAAUUUGUAGGACGCCGGAAGGUCCACAUCCCGUUGAAUGUGCAUGAUAACCACUGGAUGGCGAUGGUAUUCAAUUUCGACAAAGAAGAGAUUCAAAUCCUAAACUCCUUGAAAAAUCACUUUGACAAGUCCAAGGAAACUACUCUUGUAAGCUUUAUCUUGCUGCCUCUUUACUGUCGCAUGGCACAUGAACUCCCAAAUCACCGUAACCCUUCAUAA
rnacentral:rRNA from 1 species